CGCACAUUGCGCCCUUUGGUAUUCCGAAGGGCAUGCCUGUUCGAGCGUCAUUAUCACCUCUUCAAGCUUGGCUUGCUGUUGGACUCUAGGUCUGCUUACCAGCAGAUCGGUCCCAAAGACAAUGACGGCGUCUCUGAGGACCCCAGUACACUGAGCUAUACCCUAGCACGUACGAGGCGGAAGUCGAGACCCGGUCUUACCUAUUCUAUUCAUCAAGGUUGACCUCGGAUCAGGUAGGGAUACCCGCUGAACUUAA
rnacentral:misc_RNA from 1 species